rnacentral:sRNA from 1 species
CAGGGCUUGUGGGUUUCAUCAUCCCAUGGCAUACUUCUGGGUCCAGCUGCGGGCUGUCGUCUCAUACUUUGGACGAUCCGUCUUGUACAUGUGGGCAAUCUCAGGGACAAGAGGGUCGUCCGGGUUGGGGUCAGUGAGCAGCGAGCAGAUCGAAAGCAACACCUGAAAUUGUCAAAGCAGGGCUCCAUUGCUCCUUAAGAAUGUCAAGGCAUAUGCUUCCAUUGCUAUUGAUGUUUGGAUGGAAGACCUUUACUAACUGCUAACCUUUGGAGGCUUGAAGGGGUAGUCCGGGGGGAAAUGAAUAUUCACUAAGAAAACUCCACCAGCAUAGGGACUAUCUGGAGGACCCAUAAUGGUCGCCUGCCAAUGGAACAUAUCCUCACCAGCAGGACCUGCACUGCAUGAUGUUGGAGGAUCUUUCUGCAGGUCCUUUAGUUCCUUGAGGAUCCGCUUCGAUGCCAUGAU